GACGAACGCUGGCGGCGUGCUUAACACAUGCAAGUCGAACGGAAAGACCCUGCUUUUGUGGGGUUCUCGAUUGGCGAACGGGUGAGUAACACGUGAGUAACCUGCCCUUGACUGUGGGAUAACUUCAGGAAACUGGGGCGAAUACCCGAUAGGAGCUCCUGCUGCAUGUGGUUGGUUGGAAAGUUUCGGCGGUUGGGGAUGGACUCGCGGGUUAUCAGCUGGUUGGUGGGGUAGUGGCUUACCAAGGCUUUGACGGGUAGCCUGCCUGAGAGGGUGACCGGCCACAUUGGGACUGAGAUACGGCGCAGAAUGCUACGGGAGGCAGCAGUGGGGAAUAUUGCACAAUGGGCGGAAGCCUGAUGCAGAAACGCCGGGUGCGGGAUGACGGCCUUCGGGUUGUAAACAGAUUUCGACUGUGACGAAGAGUGAGUGACGGUAAUGGGUAAAGAAGCACCGGCUAACUACGUG
rnacentral:rRNA from 1 species